rnacentral:rRNA from 1 species
UUUGACUCAACACGGGAAAACUUACCAGGUCCAGACAUAGUGAGGAUUGACAGGUUGAAGACCUUUCUUGAUUCUAUGGGUGGUGGUGCAUGGCCGUUUUUAGUUGGUGGAGUGAUUUGUCUGGUUAAUUCCGUUAACGAACGAGACCUCGACCUGCUAACUAGUCGGACUCGGUCCUUGUGGCCGGGCUAAGCUGCCGACUUCUUAGAGGGACAAGUGGUGCGUAGCCACUGGAAGUGCGAGGCAAUAACAGGUCUGUGAUGCCCUUAGAUGUUCUGGGCUGCACGCGCGCUACACUGACGGAUGCAUCGAGCAUAUCCUGGCUUGCCAGGAUGGAUCCUUGACCGAUAGGUCUGGGUAAUCUUUUCAAAGUCCGUCGUGCUGGGGAUAGAUGAUUGUAAUUAUUCAUCUUCAACGAGGAAUUCCUAGUAAACGCAAGUCAUCAACUUGCAUUGAUUACGUCCCUGCCCUUUGUACACACCGCCCGUCGCUACUACUGAUGGAGCGUUUUAGUGAGCUUUAUGGAUCGUUUCCUUGCGAGGGUUUACCUUCCCUGGUUGACGAAAAGUAAAUCAAA